rnacentral:tRNA from 1 species
GGGGUGUUAGCUCAGCUGUAGAGCAAUUGACUGCAGAUCAAUAGGUCUUCGGUUCAAAUCCGGAACGCCCCU